rfam:Schistosoma rodhaini strain Burundi genome assembly, scaffold: SROB_scaffold0000556
AUCCAGUUGACGAAUCCCAAAUAGGACGAAACGCGCGUCCUGGAU